UACAGAGGGUGCGAGCGUUAAUCGGAAUUACUGGGCGUAAAGCGCACGUAGUCGGCUUUGCAAGUCGGGUGUGAAAUCCCCAGGCUUAACCUGGGAACUGCAUUCGAGACUGCAUUGCUAGAGUAUGGGAGAGGGAAGUGGAAUUUCCGGUGUAGCGGUGAAAUGCGUAGAUAUCGGAAGGAACAUCAGUGGCGAAAGCGACUUCCUGGACCAAUACUGACGCUCAUGUGCGAAAGCGUGGGGAGCAAACAGG
rnacentral:rRNA from 1 species